UGUGGUGUAGCGGUAUAGUGCUCACCUAGCAUGUGUGAGGCCUUGGGUUCAAUCCUCAGCACCACAU
rnacentral:tRNA from 1 species